UGGGGAAUAUUGGACAAUGGGCGCAAGCCUGAUCCAGCCAUGCCGCGUGGGUGAUGAAGGCCUUAGGGUUGUAAAGCCCUUUCGGCGGGGAAGAUAAUGACGGUACCCGCAGAAGAAGCCCCGGCUAACUUCGUGCCAGCAGCCGCGGUAAUACGAAGGGGGCUAGCGUUGCUCGGAAUUACUGGGCGUAAAGCGCACGUAGGCGGCUUGUUAAGUCGGGGGUGAAAUCCCGGAGCUCAACUCCGGAACUGCCUUCGAUACUGGCAAGCUUGAGGCCGGGGGAGGUGAGGGGAACUGCGGGUGUAGAGGUGAAAUUCGUAGAUAUUCGCAAGAACACCAGUGGCGAAGGCGGCUCACUGGCCCGGUAAUGACGCUGAGGUGCGAAAGCGUGGGGAGCAAAC
rnacentral:rRNA from 1 species